CAGCCGCCACGGCAAUACGUAGGUGGCAAGCGUUGUCCGGAAUUAUUGGGCGUACAGGGCUCGCAGGCGGUUUCUUAAGUCUGAUGUGAAAGCCCCCGGCUCAACCGGGGAGGGUCAUUGGAAACUGGGAAACUUGAGUGCAGAAGAGGAGAGUGGAAUUCCACGUGUAGCGGUGAAAUGCGUAGAGAUGUGGAGGAACACCAGUGGCGAAGGCGACUCUCUGGUCUGUAACUGACGCUGAGGAGCGAAAGCGUGGGGAGCGAACAGGAUUAGAUACCCCUGUAGUCCCUGUCUCUUAUAC
rnacentral:rRNA from 1 species